rnacentral:other from 1 species
GUCAGGAUGACGCAGGAUCACUUCGGGAUGAAGUUAGGACGCCUUAUGGAUGAGGUAAGGGGAUAGCCACCAGGAUGGGGCAAGGAUCCACUUACGGAUGAGUGUAGGAACACCUUCAGGAUGAAGGCAAGGACACCGCCAGGAAGGAUGAGAGAGUCAGUUCAGGAUGGAUUGACGGGUCAAGGAAUACCAAAGGACAACCCGGGGAUGGGGUUUAGGGAUUACCACGACGGACACAGAUUCAUGCAGGGAUGUCAGCAGGGAGCACCAUCGUAGCGGGAUAGCUGCAUGUAAGACCUAAGGGCGCAACGGAUGUUGCGCCCGUUCUUUUAUCG